rnacentral:tRNA from 1 species
AGUGUGAAAGCCAAUAGGUGUUAGUCUCUUAAAUUAAUAAUGAAGUAG